rnacentral:rRNA from 1 species
UCCUGAUGGUUAGCGGCGGACGGGUGAGUAACACGUAGGCAACCUGCCCUCAAGUUUGGGACAACUACCGGAAACGGUAGCUAAUACCGAAUAAUUGUUUUCUUCGCCUGAAGGAAACUGGAAAGACGGAGCAAUCUGUCACUUGGGGAUGGGCCUGCGGCGCAUUAGCUAGUUGGUGAGGUAACGGCUCACCAAGGCGACGAUGCGUAGCCGACCUGAGAGGGUGAUCGGCCACACUGGGACUGAGACACGGCCCAGACUCCUACGGGAGGCAGCAGUAGGGAAUCUUCCGCAAUGGGCGAAAGCCUGACGGAGGAAUGCCGCGUGAGUGAUGAAGGUUUUCGGAUCGU